rnacentral:rRNA from 1 species
CCUACGGGGGGCAGCAGUGAGGAAUAUUGGUCAAUGGGCGGAAGCCUGAACCAGCCAAGUAGCGUGCGGGAUGAAGGCCCUACGGGUCGUAAACCGCUUUUGCACGGGGAUAACACCCUCCACUUGUGGAGGUCUGCAGGUACCGUGCGAAUAAGGGCCGGCUAAUUCCGUGCCAGCAGCCGCGGUAAUACGGAAGGCCCGAGCGUUAUCCGGAUUCAUUGGGCUUAAAGGGAGCGUAGGCGGGCGUUCAAGUCAGCUGUAAAAUCGCGCGGCUCAACCGCGCCCCGCAGUUGAAACUGGACGCCUUGAGUUCACAACAGGCAGGCGGAAUUCGUGGUGUAGCGGUGAAAUGCAUAGAUAUCACGAGGAACCCCGAUUGCGAAGGCAUCUGACGAAUCGGAGAUUGACGCUGAUGCACGAAAGCGUGGGAAUCGAACAGGAUUAGAUACCCCUGUAGUC